AUGAUUGAGGGGGCAAGGUUCCACAAUAUGCUGGGCGGCGCUGGCAUCGGCGGCGGCAGAGGGAAGCUGGAGAACGAGAGCAACGGCUUCUACGACAUGCCGUAUUACCACAAGGUCGGGGAGAGCUCCCACAUGUCGGUGGACAGCGCGGACAACAUGAACUCGAUGAGCUAUGUCGGCGGCUCGGUCGCCAUGUCGGUGGACAACAGCAGCGUGGCCUCCAACGAGUCCCGCACCGUCAUGCUCAACCACCCAGGCCUCCGUGAUGUCCCCACACCAAACUAUUCGGUUUGCAACAGUGUCAUCUACCCCAACAAGGCUGCCGCGUCUGUUCUCAAGGAGGAUGCUCUGGCUCGGGUUUUGAUGGACCCGACUCAUCCAACAGAGAUACUCACUAACUAUGAGGCGUGGACCAUUGAUCUGGGGAAGCUGGACAUGGGGGCUCCUUUUGCUCAGGGGGCCUUUGGGAAGCUGUAUCGGGGAACAUACAACGGGGAAGAUGUUGCCAUUAAGCUGCUGGAGAAGCCUGAGAAUGACCUAGAGAGAGCACAGUUGAUGGAACAGCAGUUUGUGCAAGAAGUUAUGAUGCUUUCCACGUUGAGGCACCCAAAUAUCGUAAGGUUCAUCGGGGCAUGCAGGAAGUCGAUUGUUUGGUGUAUCAUUACUGAAUAUGCAAAAGGUGGCUCUGUCAGGCAGUUCCUUGCCCGAAGGCAGACCAAGUCUGUGCCCCUGAGAUUGGCAGUGAAACAGGCGCUUGAUGUUGCCAGAGGAAUGGCAUAUGUGCAUGCCCUGGGAUUUAUUCACAGGGAUCUGAAGUCAGAUAACCUUCUAAUUUCAGCAGACAAAUCCAUCAAGAUUGCAGACUUUGGAGUUGCUCGAAUCGAGGUAAAAACCGAGGGAAUGACUCCAGAGACAGGAACCUACCGUUGGAUGGCGCCGGAGAUGAUCCAGCACAGGCCUUAUGAUCAUAAGGUCGACGUGUAUAGCUUUGGGAUUGUGCUGUGGGAGCUCAUGACCGGCAUGCUCCCCUUCACAAACAUGACAGCGGUUCAGGCAGCUUUUGCUGUGGUGAACAAGAACGCUCGUCCUGCGAUCCCACAAGAUUGCCUGCCCGCUCUAAGCCAUAUCAUGACCCGUUGCUGGGAUGCAAACCCUGAAGUCCGCCCAUCAUUCAACGAGGUUGUGACCAUGCUCGAGGCUGCUGAGACGGACGUUGUCAGCAAUGUCCGUAAGGCACGGUUCCGCUGCUGCAUCUCCGAGCCCAUGACCACCGACUGA
rnacentral:rRNA from 1 species